rnacentral:rRNA from 1 species
GACGAACCGUGCGAACGUUAUUCGGAAUCACUGGGCUUAAAGCGCGUGUAGGCGGGACGGCACGUCGGUCGCUGAAAUCCCCCGGCUCAACCGGGGAACGGGCGCCGAUACGACCGCCCUGGAGGGACGUAGGGGGACCUGGAACUUCCGGUGGAGCGGUGAAAUGCGUUGAGAUCGGAAGGAACGCCCGUGGCGAAAGCGAGGUCCUGGACGUUUUCUGACGCUGAGACGGCGAAAGCCAGGGGGAGCGAACGGG